rnacentral:rRNA from 1 species
UGCUUUCGCGCCUCAGCGUCAGUGUCGGCCCUGCAACCCGCCUUCGCCGCAGGUGUUCCUCUCGAUAUCUACGCAUUUCACCGCUACACCGAGAAUUCCAGUUGCCCCUUCCGCACUCAAGCACGACAGUAUCACUUGACCGCUCUGAGUUAAGCCCAAGAGAUUUCACAAGUGACUUGUCGCGCCGCCUACGCGCCCUUUACGCCCAGUAAAUCCG